rnacentral:rRNA from 1 species
UAGGGAAUCUUCGGCAAUGGACGAAAAGUCCUGACCGAGCAACGCCGCGUGAGUGAAGAAGGUUUUCGGUCGUAAAACUCUGUUGUUAGGAGAAAACAAGGAUGAGAGUAACUGUUCUACCCUUGACGGUAUCCUAACCAGAAAGCCACGGCUAACUACGUG